GACGAACGCUGGCGGCGUGCUUAACACAUGCAAGUCGAACGGAAAGGCCCUGCGUUUGUGGGGUGCUCGAGUGGCGAACGGGUGAGUAACACGUGAGUAACCUGCCCUUGACUUUGGGAUAACUUCAGGAAACUGGGGCUAAUACCGGAUAGGAUCUCCUGCUGCAUGGUGGGGGUUGGAAAGUUUCGGCGGGUGGGGAUGGACUCGCGGCUUAUCAGCUUGUUGGUGAGGUAGUGGCUUCCCAAGGGUUUGACGGGUAGCCGGCCUGAGAGGGUGGCCGGCCACAUUGGGCCUGAGAUACGGCCCAGACUCCUACGGGAGGCAGCAGUGGGGAAUAUUGCACAAUGGGCGGAAGCCUGAUGCAGCAACGCCGCGUGCGGGAUGACGGCCUUCGGGUUGUAAACCGCUUUCGCCUGUGACGAAGCGUGAGUGACGGUAAUGGGUAAAGAAGCACCGGCUAACUACGUG
rnacentral:rRNA from 1 species